GAAGGGGUAGCUUAAUGUGAAAGCAUUUGACUGUUAAUCAAAAGUUCCUAUAAUCAGGCCCUUUCU
rnacentral:tRNA from 2 species